rnacentral:rRNA from 1 species
CGAAGGAUGCAAGCGUUAUCCGGAUUCAUUGGGUUUAAAGGGUGCGUAGGCGGCCCUGUAAGUCAGUGGUGAAAUCUCUCAGCUUAACUGAGAAACUGCCAUUGAUACUGCAGGGCUUGAGUACAGAUGAUGUUGGCGGAAUAUGACAUGUAGCGGUGAAAUGCAUAGAUAUGUCAUAGAACACCGAUUGCGAAGGCAGCUGACAAAACUGUAACUGACGCUGAGGCACGAAGGUGUGGGGAUCAAACAGGAUUAGAUACCCUGGUAGUCCACACUGUAAACUAUGAUCACUCGCUGUGUGCGAUAUACAGUACGCGGCUAAGCGAAAGCGUUAAGUGAUCCACCGUGGGGAGUACGCCGGCAACGGUG